AAUCACACCAGGGACUCCAUGUGCCCGAUAAUAAGAAAAAAAAAGAAAAAAAAAAAGAGGAGGUUCACGACCUGGAGCUGUCCAGGUGCUGAAAACUGGGGAUUCCAGCGGCUGCAGAUGUGCGACGAGCGGCGGCGGCGUCAGCGCGGAGGGGAGACCGAGAGAGAGUCACACACGCAAAAACAUGCACACGAUACAUCACACGAAGCAUGAACGUGCGAAGGGAGGAACACGCCCACAUGUGUCUUCUCCAACAAAAAGCAGUUCUGAGCUACUUUCGAGCGUCACUAUGACUCACCCCGGGAACCUGUGCUGACUACCAACAGCUGGGAUUUCACGAUCUGGAAAACAGCAAGAACAAACGCUCCCAAUGAUGGCAG